rnacentral:rRNA from 1 species
UACGUAGGGACCGAGCGUUGUCCGGAAUCAUUGGGCGUAAAGAGCGUGUAGGCGGCCUGUUAAGUCUUGCGUGAAAUCUCGGGGCUCAACCCCGAGCGGUCGUGAGAAACUGGCAGGCUAGAGUGCGGGAGAGGAGAGUGGAAUUCCUGGUGUAGCGGUGAAAUGCGCAGAUAUCAGGAAGAACACCCGUGGCGAAGGCAGGUCUCUGGGCCGAUACUGACGCUGAGGAGCGAAAGCGUGGGGAGCGAACAGG